UGGAAGCUGAUAAUGAUGAAA
rnacentral:piRNA from 1 species